UCCCGGCUAGCUCAGUCGGUAGAGCGUCAGACUCUUAAAAGGGUCUCUUCGAUUACGAAGGGUUCAUCUGAAUGUCGUGGGUUCGAGCCCCACGUUGGGAG